GCCGGUCCUCGGUAGUGGCCCCCGGGGGACGAUCCCCCGGGUGCUUCGAUCGAAGACCGGC
rfam:Streptomyces cyaneogriseus subsp. noncyanogenus strain NMWT 1, complete genome.